rnacentral:rRNA from 1 species
ACACGUAGGGGGCGAGCGUUGUCCGGAUUUAUUGGGCGUAAAGAGCUCGUAGGCGGUUUCGUAAGUCGGGUGUGAAAACUCCAGGCUCAACCUGGAGACGCCACCCGAUACUGCGAUGACUAGAGUCCGGUAGGGGAGCGUGGAAUUCCUGGUGUAGCGGUGAAAUGCGCAGAUAUCAGGAGGAACACCGACGGCGAAGGCAGCGCUCUGGGCCGGUACUGACGCUGAGGAGCGAAAGCGUGGGGAGCGAACAGGAUUAGAUACCCUGGUAGUCCACGCCGUAAACGUUGGGCACUAGGUGUGGGAUCUUUCCAACGGAUUCCGUGCCGUAGCUAACGCAUUAAGUGCCCCGCCUGGGGAGUACGGCCGCAAGGCUAAA